rnacentral:rRNA from 1 species
UACAGAGGGUGCGAGCGUUAAUCGGAAUUACUGGGCGUAAAGCGUGCGCAGGCGGUUUUGUAAGCCAGAUGUGAAAGCCCCGGGCUCAACCUGGGAAUGGCAUUUGGGACUGCAAGGCUUGAGUGCGGCAGAGGAGACUGGAAUUCCUGGUGUAGCGGUGAAAUGCGCAGAUAUCAGGAGGAACACCGAUGGCGAAGGCAGGUCUCUGGGCCACUACUGACGCUGAGAAGCGAAAGCGUGGGGAGCGAACAGG